GACGAACGCUGGCGGCGUGCUUAACACACGCAAGUCGAACGGAAAGGCCCCUUUGGGGGUACUCGAGUGGCGAACGGGUGAGUAACACGUGAGUAACCUGCCCUUGACUUCGGGAUAACUUCAGGAAACUGGGGCUAAUACCGGAUAGGAAUCCUUGCUGCAUGGUGGGGGUUGGAAAGCUUCGGCGGUUUUGGAUGGACUCGCGGCUUAUCAGCUUGUUGGUGGGGUAGUGGCUUACCAAGGCUUUGACGGGUAGCCGGCCUGAGAGGGCGACCGGCCACAUUGGGACUGAGAUACGGCCCAGACUCCUACGGGAGGCAGCAGUGGGGAAUAUUGCACAAUGGGCGGAAGCCUGAUGCAGCAACGCCGCGUGCGGGAUGACGGCCUUCGGGUUGUAAACCGCUUUCAGCAGGGGCGAAGCUUGUGGUGACGGUACCUGCAGAAGAAGCACCGGCUAACUACGUG
rnacentral:rRNA from 1 species